rnacentral:lncRNA from 1 species
UGCAAUUGAUUUUAAAGUUUCUUGUUUAAAAUAUUUUUUUUAUAAAAAGUUAUCAAAAUAUGUGUUUAUUGUUUCUAGUAUUGAUUAUUUGGACCAUAUUAUCUCAAUUAACAACGUAAACCUAGAUCUGGAAAAGAUUUAAGUAAUUUUAGAAUGAUAAAAGUCGAGAUCUCUCACGAUGCUCAAGGGUUUUUUAGGUGUCACCGACUUUUAUUGACAAUUUGUCUGCCAUUACUCCUCUCACGCUGCUCCACUCACUAAUUUGUUAGUUUUCAUGGAGUACAUUAUCCAAUACAACAUUUACAACACUUUAAAGAUAAAUGUCUGAAACUCCAAUUUUGGCUCUUCCAGACUUUUCCAAUAUCUUCAUACUUGAAACAUAUAUGUGUAUGUGUUGUGGCUACCGGUGAUGUUUUAUCUCAAGAGGGUCCCCCUUUGGAAUUCUGCAACAAAAAGAUGUGCAGCAAUAUGCAAGCUUCGUCUGUAUAUGUUCGCGAGAUGUACACCAUGACAUAAGUUGUAAAAAAUAGCAUCAAUAUUUAAUUAGAAGGCAUUUUCACAUAUUCACAUACCAAAAGAGUUUUAAAUUUUUGUUGGUCUAAACAAUUCGAACCUAGAACAACAAAAAUGGGACUCAAAGCCAAAAGGUUUCAGUUUCAAAAUAUUCUACAAAUCUGGGAAGGCAAAUUAGGUGGCUAAUGCACUUAGCCGAAAACACAUAUAGGACAAAUCUAUCUUGCUUAAAAUAUCAUAGCCGGUCUCGUUACUUCUAGAUCAACUCAGGAAAUACUAUUACAAACAAAAGGAGGGUCAGAAAUUGAUGGCAAAAUAUCGUUCAGACCCGCACAUGCAACAACUGUUUAGAUUAAAAGAUCAUAUUUUAUAUUAUAAGGACAAAACUUUCAUACCACUGAUGGAAGAGCUUUAACAUGAUAUCAUCCACAAGUACCAUUUAACUCCUACUGCAGGUCACUCAGGACUUCAACCAACAGUAGCUCUCCUUUCAGCAUCCUUCCUUUGGUCGGUAAUUCAGAAGGAUGUCAAGAUUUUUGUAUAACACUCCCAGAUCUGCCAACAUAAUAAAUACAUGUCAAGAAAAACAAGAGUUACUACAACCAUUAGUGAUACCAGCAUAAAAAUGGGAAGGGUAGUCAAUGGACUUCAUAACACACUUACCUUCAUCUUUUGAGCGUACAAUGAUAUGGAUCAUUUGUGACCGCCUUACAAAGCUUGUUCACUUUGUUGCAUUUCUAACCAAGUUCUCUGCCCAUAGUCUCACCAAACAUUUUUCUGUUGAGAUUUGUGGCCUGUAUGAUAUACCCAAAUCAAUAGUUUGAGACAAAGAUCCAUUUUUUCUCAACCCUUUUCGGAAUAAUUUUUUUGUACCCAAGACACUACACUUAAGUAUACAACAACUUACAAUCCCGAAACAAAUGGUCAAACAUAAGUAGUAAAUCAAAGUUUAGAAGCUUACCUCCACUAUUUUGCAAGUGAUCAUCCACUCAUGUGGUACAAGUAUUUGCAUCGGGCUGGAUAUUGGUAUAAUACUUCUUUUCACUUGGCCAUCAAGAUAUCUUCUUUUGAAGCCUUUUAUGGAUUCCCACACCCGGCUCUCCCAAACUAUGUAUAAGGUUUUUUUACCUUGUUUGCUAUAAAAACUAUUUUGAAAAACAAAUAAUAAAUAUGUAACACUUUAAAGGACAACUUGAAGAGAAAUCAACAAAAAAUGUCAGAUCAAGCAAAUAAAGACAAGAUCAACAAUGCCUUUGAAAAUUGUGACUUAUCUCAGAAACUUUCAAAAAAAUAUUUUGGUCCUCUCAAGAUGCUUCAGUGUGUUGGUUUAGUAGCUUACAAAUAGUACCUUCCAAAGUCGUUAAACAUACACCUUAUUUUUUCACUUGUCCAAGUUAAGAGCAUACUAUGGAACAAACCCACACUCUCAUUUUAUUCCAAUCCCAUAAUAUUUAGAACAUGACAAUGUUAAUGAUGAUAAGCAAAAGGAGACUCAAGAAAUAAAGGUACAAAAGUUGAAUGAUUUUCAAAAUCGAAUUCAAGAAGAUAAGGUGCAAAAAAAUCAUUUGCAAGAGAGAAAAGUGCAACGCAAAAUUUUGGGCGAUUAUGUAUCUGAAAGUGCAAUGAGAAGUGAAACAAUAAUGGUAAAGGAAAAGAAAAUAAUUGCAACUAAUACUUAUACUAAUGCCUCAACUCAGUAACUACAUUACUUCCCUAAGCCUCACGUGAAACCUUCCCAAUCCUAAGAUUCAUCAACUAAAAUAGCCUCUCCAAAGGACGAGCCACAUGUCCACCAUUACCAAAUGAUUAAGAUCAUGUCGCCUUAACCACUCAUGCUU